GCCCUCCCGAAGCACGCCAACCUCUAAAUGUCACAGUCAUUAGACUAAAUUCUGACGUCUCCGGAUCUCGCCCAUACCCCUGCAGCUACCAUCCCAGCGACCAAGGAUCCCAUCAAACUGGGUGUGACCAGCAGGUGGCCGCCUAACCGCCUAACUAACCAUAUACAUAUGCAUGUGUUCUUCGCCGAGCUCCAGCUUGUAUGCAGAGCAAAAAUUACUUUACUGUGUCGUGCUGUUGAGGCACGCGGAGCCGCACCCAGUUUCUUGGUCUCGAGUCGAGUUUGUUGUCAUUUUCGCUUUCAUAUCCAUAUCCACAGGCACAGCCACAUCCACCAAGGGAGGAGCUGCUAGUGAAAUAUCUAGCAUUACAUUUUACGUUUCAGCUUUCAUUUGUUGCGGCGUGAAGGGGACGGUUUCGGUUUCUUUGUUUGUUAUUUUACAAGUUUGCCAUUUUCCCCAUACAGGGUGAGUAUCCCACUCCCGUCCCACUUAUUUGAAUACCUUGCGUGGGCUCCAGGGAUCCAGCUCGUCUAGCUCUGUCCAUGGACAGCAGUCUGCACUGGAUAGGCAAAGCAGCCAGACGUACUCGGGAGUAGGAACGAACCACGAACCUGCCGCAGUUCAUAAAUCAGCCCAAAAAUGGAUGACAAUACAGACUUCCGUGACGUUUGGCUGGAGACGGUGACCAUUGGGGGGUUUCGUGUUUGGCACAUAAUAGCCGCUGUCCUGGGCAUACUAAUGGGAAUCAUGAUUAUGGUCUGCUGUUGCAUCCGAUUCCGCAUACCACGCACCAAGCAAGAGAUCGAGGCGGACUAUCAGCGCAAGCAAAUAACAAAGAAGUUCCGCGAGAAGCUCCAGCAAAUUAAAAACUCCGAAAUGGACGACAUGGACCUACAGAAGGCACUUGCUUACAUCAAACUGGAACAGUACGAUGAUCCCUAAGGGCUUGUAAAUUCACUAGCACACUGUACAAACUAUUGGAAGUACCUAAGAACUAGCCUCUGUAUCCCAAAGAACACUGCCAAUUUUGUGCUCGAAUUCAAAGCGAUUUCCUGAAUCUCCAGGCGAGCGUCGAGAGCAUGAACGAGAAGCAAAAUGUUAAGUUUAAGAUCUAGAUACGGAAGGAACUGUUAUACUGUUGUGUAACAGAAUAUAAUACAAAGUGUGUUGGUAUCCUAUACUAUACUCCUAGCAUGAUAAAAACUUAUAAACUAGAAAAGCAGUGGAUUUUCAUAUUGAAGAACAUUAAACGUACGAAUAUCGUCUAGUCUUAGCCAUUACACAUGUUUCUCCUAAUCCUGUUAUACGACUAUUCAAACAAUAAAACUCGGGGAUG